UACGUAGGGGGCAAGCGUUGUCCGGAUUUAUUGGGCGUAAAGAGCGUGUAGGCGGCUAUACAGGUCCGCUGUGAAAACUCGAGGCUCAACCUCGAGACGUCGGUGGAAACCGUAUGGCUAGAGUCCGGAAGAGGAGAGUGGAAGUUCCUGGUGUAGCGGUGAAAUGCGCAGAUAUCAGGAAGAACACCCGUGGCGAAGGCGGCUCUCUGGGACGGUACUGACGCUGAGACGCGAAAGCGUGGGGAGCGAACAGG
rnacentral:rRNA from 1 species